AAUGCACCAAUUUGUAAGUCGCUCUGGAUAAGAGCGACUGCUAAAUGACAUAAA
rfam:Salmo salar isolate Sally breed double haploid chromosome ssa25, whole genome shotgun sequence.